rnacentral:rRNA from 1 species
CGUAGGGUGCAAGCGUUAAUCGGAAUUACUGGGCGUAAAGCGUGCGCAGGCGGUUGUGUAAGUCUGUCGUGAAAUCCCCGGGCUCAACCUGGGAAUUGCGAUGGAGACUGCACGGCUAGAGUGUGUCAGAGGGGGGUAGAAUUCCACGUGUAGCAGUGAAAUGCGUAGAUAUGUGGAGGAACACCGAUGGCGAAGGCAGCCCCCUGGGAUAACACUGACGCUCAUGCACGAAAACGUGGGGAGCAAACAGGAUUAGAUACCCUGGUAGUCCACGCCCUAAACGAUGUCAACUAGUUGUCGGGUCUUAAUUGACUUGGUAACGCAGCUAACGCGUGAAGUUGACCGCCUGGGGAGUACGGUCGCAAGAUUA